rnacentral:rRNA from 1 species
AGAGUUUGAUCAUGGCUCAGAAUCAACGCUGGCGGCGCGCUUAACACAUGCAAGUCGCACGAGAAAGGGGGCAACCCUGAGUACAGUGGCGUACGGGUGAGUAACACGUGGAUGAUCUACCUCUUAGUGGGGAAUAACCCUGGGAAACCGGGGCUAAUACCGCAUAAGCUCUAGCGAGGAAAGCAGCAAUGCGCUGAGAGAGGAGUCCGCGGCCGAUUAGCUAGUUGGUAGGGUAAGAGCCUACCAAGGCAGAGAUCGGUAGCCGGCCUGAGAGGGCACACGGCCACACUGGCACUGAAACACGGGCCAGACUCCUACGGGAGGCAGCAGUGGGGAAUCUUGCACAAUGGGGGAAACCCUGAUGCAGCGACGCCGCGUGAGCGAUGAAGCCCUUCGGGGUGUAAAGCUCUUUCGGCAGGGAAGAUGAUGACGGUACCUGCAGAAGCAGCUGCGGCUAACUACGUGCCAGCAGCCGCGGUAAUACGUAGGCAGCGAGCGUUGUUCGGAGUUACUGGGCGUAAAGGGUGUGUAGGCGGUUGUUUAAGUUUGGUGUGAAAUCUCCCGGCUCAACUGGGAGGGUGCGCCGAAUACUGAAUGACUUGGAGUGCGGGAGAGGAGAGUGGAAUUCCUGGUGUAGCGGUGAAAUGCGUAGAUAUCAGGAGGAACACCGGUGGUGUAGACGGCUCUCUGGACCGUAACUGACGCUGAGACACGAAAGCGUGGGUAGCAAACAGGAUUAGAUACCCUAGUAGUCC